UAUCUGAUUGCUGGCAAGCUUCUACAUUUCGUACAUAAGCACUGUUGGAGUUUCUUCUGUUUAAACGGCACAUCUUAGAAUAAUGGUUUUUGUUUUUGCAUGUAUUACAUGUAACACCAAUUGCUGGACAUCGAUAUUGGUGAAUUUGACCGCAACGGGAACAAUUGUUUUUUGAUAUAUAUGUAUUUGACGAAUAGCUGUUUUGUUUUUUAUUGCUGUUUGAAUGUGGUUUAAUUGAAGGUGACAUUUGAUGACGGAAAUUAUUGUUGUAUGAUUGAUUUUGAUAUUUUUCGAAAUUUUUUGUAGGAUGAUGGUUAAUAGCAUUUAUAUGACUUUGAUUAUUUAAUUCUAAUUGCUUUGCGUGGUCUUUUGUGAGCUCAAUUGUCUUUGCAAUUUCGAGCGCUUUUUCAAGCUUUAUAGCUCCUUCAGUAAGCAGACGUUCUUUUACAUUAGACCAGCUAUUGCUUAAACCACAAACAAAAAUAUCUCUUACCAGUUCUUCUCUUAGCUUGUCGAAAUCACAUGAAAGGCUUAGAUUUUUUAGCGCGGUUAUGUAGUCAUCCAUUGAUUCACCUAAUUGCUGCGUCCUUGUGAAAAAUUUGUGUCGCUCCAUAGCGAUAUUGACUUUUGGCAAAAAAUGUGCUUCUAAUUUAGCCACGAGGUCAUCAAAUAAGACAUUAUCCAAGUCGAGAUCAAAUGAAAAAAAAGAUUUCUAAAGAGUCUGGUCCCAUGUGAUGCAAGAGAAGUGCUACUUUUCUUUGGUCUGCCUGGGUGUCCAAGCUGGAUGCACGUAAAAAUAUUUUAAAUUGUGUCAGCCAAUUUUUCCAUUCCACCGGCAUAUUAGAAGAUUUCAAAUUAAGCGGAAGAAUUGCUGGCGUGAAAGUUGGUGGAGUCACUACCGUAGCCAUAUUGUCUUGUACAUCAGUUUUUAUUACUUUCAUAUUUAAUGAGAAUGACCAUUAUGAUAUUUGGGUAAUAUGAACACUUUUAAAAUUCACUUUUGUAAAACACCUGACACCAUAUUGUAUGUUUAUAGAAUAAUGAUAAGACGACUUAACUUGCUUAAAGAGUGUCUUUAUUGUCUUCGGUGUUAACACUUUGAAUGUCGUGACACAACUGCCAAGACUUACUUAAAACUAACUUAAUACUACAAAAUGAAGAGAGAGAGAAAGAGAGACUUUACUUCAUAUAACAACCUACAUACCUACAUUAAUUUUGUGUUUUAUUAAACAUUACUGCUUAAAAUUAAAGGUGCUCCAGAGUAAAAAUCGAUCGAAUUCGAUUCGAAACUAAAAACCCGACCAUCCAAUCAGACUUUUUAAAGUCUAAAAGUGCUCUUUUUGCUAAGCCGCACAAUAUCGCCCAAAUUCAGAAAAAAAAAAACUAUUUGACUCGCAGCCUGAGCAAACAAUAAAAAAUCACCCCCAAAAUCUCCAUCUUGGCACCUUUAUUUUAUUUAAAUGUGUAAAAAAAAAGUACAUAUUUUUAUUUUUUUGAUCCUGUUUAAAAAUCCUGCAAGGACCAAAUAAAAUUAACAGCAAAAAAAAAUACAACACACACUCUCAACUCAACAAUCAAAAUCAUCCAAACUUUCAUCCUCGGAAAACAUCCAGGAAAACAUCUAAAAUUGCACUUAUAACCUAAAUAAGCAAUAUCCAGGAAAACAUCUAAAAUUGCACUUAUAACCUAAAUAAGCAAUAUCCAGGAAAAACAUAUAAAAUCAUCUUCUACCUGAGCCUUUAUCUCAUCACGUUUCAAAAAAAAAAAAAACUAUAAAAGCUAAGUACCUAAAAAUCUUUCUUUCAAGUAAAAAAAUAAAAAAAAAAGUUUUAUAAAUCUUAAAUUAUUGCAUAUCUACUAUUUGACCUUGUACAUUCAAUUCGUUCAAAUUUCUUUUUUUCUAUUUUACCCUAUUUUAGUCUAGCUUUAAAAUAAAUAAGCAAAAUCAUAACAAAACAACAACAAAAACUCAAUCCUGCGAUGGUGUGCACAUUAUCAGGAGGAAAUGACCAAAUGUGAAUUAUAAACAACGAAGAACAAAAAUACAAUUCACCACUGUAACACAUAAAAAUAUGCAAAAUUGCAAAACAAUUUGUGGGGUAAGUGAGAAUAUUAAUUUAUUGAUUGAAAAUUUGAA